rnacentral:rRNA from 1 species
UACGUAGGGUGCGAGCGUUAAUCGGACUUACUGGGCGUAAAGCGUGCGCAGGCGGUUUUAUAAGCCAGAUGUGAAAGCCCCGGGCUCAACCUGGGAAUGGCAUUUGGGACUGUAAGGCUGGAGUAUGGCAGAGGAGACUAGAAUUCCUGGUGUAGCAGUGAAAUGCGUAGAUAUCAGGAGGAAUACCGAUGGCGAAGGCAGGUCUCUGGGCCAAUACUGACGCUCAUGCACGAAAGCGUGGGGAGCAAACAGG